UACGAAGGGGGCUAGCGUUGCUCGGAAUCACUGGGCGUAAAGCGCACGUAGGCGGAUCGCUAAGUCAGGGGUGAAAUCCUGGAGCUCAACUCCAGAACUGCCUUUGAUACUGGCAAUCUCGAGUCCGGGAGAGGUGAGUGGAACUGCGAGUGUAGAGGUGAAAUUCGUAGAUAUCGCAAGAACACCAGUGGCGAAGGCGGCUCACUGGCCCGGUACUGACGCUGAGGUGCGAAAGCGUGGGGAGCAAACAGGG
rnacentral:rRNA from 1 species